GACCAGAGCAGAGUGAAUAGUAAAAAGGACUUUCCAUAUACUUCACAUCAAAAAUUCAAGUCAAGUAAACUUUAUAUAUGGCAGAUGUUGUGGUUUGAUGAGUUAUCCAUAAUCUACAUCUAGUUGGAACCCUGAUAGAAGGAAUGUAUCACAUGAUAACGGUACCUAGAGGUUCUUCCUAUUUCAUUCUGCUAGUUUGCCAUCAUAUACUUCUAGGUGUCACUGG
rnacentral:lncRNA from 1 species